rnacentral:rRNA from 1 species
GACGUAGGGCGCGAGCGUUGUCCGGAUUUAUUGGGCGUAAAGAGCUCGUAGGCGGCUUGUCGCGUCGGCUGUGAAAACUCGGGGCUCAACCCCGAGCCUGCAGUCGAUACGGGCAGGCUAGAGUUCGGUAGGGGAGACUGGAAUUCCUGGUGUAGCGGUGAAAUGCGCAGAUAUCAGGAGGAACACCGGUGGCGAAGGCGGGUCUCUGGGCCGAUACUGACGCUGAGGAGCGAAAGCGUGGGGAGCGAACAGG